rnacentral:rRNA from 1 species
UACAUGUGGGGCAAGCGUUGUUCGGAAUUACUGGGCAUAAAGGGUGCGUAGGCGGUUUGUCGCGUCUGCCGUGAAAGUCCGGGGCUCAACUCCGGAUCUGCGGUGGGUACGGGCAGACUAGAGUGAUGUAGGGGAGACUGGAAUUCCUGGUGUAGCGGUGAAAUGCGCAGAUAUCAGGAGGAACACCGAUGGCGAAGGCAGGUCUCUGGGCAUUAACUGACGCUGAGGAGCGAAAGCAUGGGGAGCGAACAGG